ACACCAAAAACUGAAAAAUAAAUUCAAUUGAGAAAAAUCAACUAUUAAGCUAUAUUUUUCUGAAAGACAAAACAUAUUAAUAUAAGCUAUGAAUAGUCCAAACCUGUUACGAGCAACACAAAUUUAUAUAAUUUCAAUAUUUCCACUAAACAUGUCUCUGAUAAGUUGAUUUUCAUUGCAUAUUUAAUAUUAAUCCAAACAAAAAACAAAGGCCUAAAUCUUCAAAAUAUACAUUUCUCAUAUCAUAUUACUCCGAAAUAACAAAAACACCAGAGCCUAAUUUGACACUACAAAAAUGGCAACUGGCAUUAUAGGAAUUAGGAAGACCUUACAAAUUGAUUGCUUGUUAUGAAUUAAAAAAAGUCGAGCCUUCAAUAUUUUUUUAUUUUUUUUGAGGGGUUCAAUUUUAUUUUCUAAACAAUGACAACAUGGCACAUGGAAAUAUGCAUGCUGGGUAGACCUUACCAUGGAGAUACGUGAGUUUUUUUUUCUUCUUCUUCUUAUUAUUAUUAUUAAUUUAUUAUUAUUAUUAUUAUUAUUAUUAUUAUUAUUAUUAUUAUUAUUUGAAAAAUAUUUAAUGUUUGUUGACAUAGAGAACAAUGGCAAUUGGCAUUAUAGAAGAGCUUACAGAUUAAAUAGGGUUUGGCAAUUGGUUGUUUUAAUGAAUUUGUUUAACAUAUUGUUUAUAUAAACUACUCCCUCCGUCUUUUAUUAGUUUACCCCUUUCUUUGGGGCACAUUUGCCGAGAUACUAAUUUGAACCUUAAUAUCUCUACUUUUCGAUAAGCAAAAAUUACAAAAAGUUGAUAUUUGGAUAAUACACAUUGAGACGAAUCCAACAAGAUCUCACAUGACUAUAUUUUUCCUUAAAUACAAAUUACAAAAGAUAGUCAAAGUCAUAUAUGUGAAUAGUGUCAAAAGUCAAAAGGGAUAAACUAAUAAAAGACGGAGGGAGUAUUUGACUAUUAAUUUAUAUAGGCAAAAUAGGUGUUAAUAUCAAAGAUUUAGUGCGAAACAAAUGCAACAAAGCUUAUUAAAAUCAACAUUUUUUAUUUGGCGAAAAAGUUGGUCAUUUAGCUACCUGAAAAUCAUCUCUAUUAUAUAUGACAACACAUAAGGGACACCAAAAAAUAGAAAAAAAAAUAACAAACUACAUUAAAAUGAAAAAAGAAGAAAAAAAAACCACAUUUAAAUUAAACAAAAUACAAAGAUAAUUCUUCAAUACAAUUAAUUUAAUUUUUGAUAUAUUAUCGCACGCAUCGGGUAAAGUAGUAUACUAAAAGUCAACCAGUAAUAUAAAAUAGCCACCCAAAAACUAGAAGUAACCAAACACCCCAUAUAGCAUAUGCCAUAUGGGGCAUAUGGCCAUAUCAUUAUAAAUAGAGAAGAUGUCUGAAAUGAGAAAGCAACCAAAUUGAGAUUGAGAUUGCGCUUGAAAAUGGUAUCACUCAAAUAUUUGAAGCCAGCAUUGCUUUUGGGUUUAUUAUUCAUCUUCAUGGCAUCAGAUCCAGCAAUGGCAAGCACGAUUUCAGUUACACAACAUUUAAAAUGCUACCCAACGGGUUAUUAUUGUGUAUAUUCAGAAGAUUGCUGUGAAGGAGUAUGCGAUUUAAAUAUGGGUCAAGGUGGUGGUUUUUAUGGUAUGUGUUGUAUUGUACAACCACCACCUAUCUAUUUCGACUGCGGCUGGUAGGUUGUAGCCAAGGAAACGAUUCUAAGAGUGAAUGAUUGAGUCGUUAAGUUUAAUAAGCGAUGUUGGCAACUAAAAGUUAUUCGUGUUGCUACUCGUAUAGUUUUAUAUGUACACCUCAAGAAAGUAUGUGAAUCGACUCAAAUUAUUUUGAAGCUAUA